rnacentral:rRNA from 1 species
UGGUCAAGUUAUUAAGGGUGCAGGGCGGAUGCCUUGGCACUAGGAGCCGAUGAAGGACGUGAUAAGCUGCGAUAAGCUUCGGGGAGUUGCACGUAAACUUUGAUCCGAAGAUUUCCGAAUGAGGAAACUCACUUAGAGUAAUGUCUAAGUAUCAUUAAGUGAAUACAUAGCUUAAUGAGGGGAACUCAGGGAACUGAAACAUCUAAGUACCUGAAGGAAGAGAAAGAAAUUCGAUUCCGUAAGUAGCGGCGAGCGAACGCGGAUUAGCCAAAACCAAUAAAGUUUUCUUUGUUGGGGUUGCGGACAUAUCAUAACGAAGAGGUAUCGUAAUUGAAGAGGUUUGGAAAGACCCACCACAGAAGGUAAUAGUCCUGUAUGUUAAACGAGAAGACUUUAGAUAUGAUCCAGAGUACCACGGGACACGUGAAACCCUGUGGGAAGCAGGAGGGACCACCCUCCAAGGCUAAAUACUACCUAGUGACCGAUAGCGUAUAGUACCGUGAGGGAAAGGUGAAAAGAACCCCGGGAGGGGAGUGAAAUAGAACCUGAAACCCUGCACUUACAAGCUGUGGAAGCACAUUUCUUGUGUGACCGCGUACUUUUUGUAGAACGGGCCAACGAGUUACGUUAAGUAGCAAGGUUAAGCACUUAAGGUGCGGAGCCGUAGCGAAAGCGAGUUUUAACUGAGCGUUCAGUUACUUGACGUAGACCCGAAACCGGGCGACCUACCCAUGAGCAGGAUGAAGCGAAAGUAAAAUUUCGUGGAGGUCCGAACCCACGAGCGUUGAAAAGCUCGGGGAUGACUUGUGGGUAGCGGUGAAAUUCCAAUCGAGCCCGGAGAUAGCUGGUUCUCCCCGAAAUAGCUUUAGGGCUAGCCUCAAGGUGAGAGAUACGGAGGUAGAGCACUGAAUGUCCUAGGGGGUAUUGCACCUACCGAAGACUAUCAAACUCCGAAUGCCGUCAUCUUAUACUUGGGAGUCAGACUGUGGGUGAUAAGAUUCAUAGUCGAAAGGGCAACAGCCCAGAUCGUCAGCUAAGGUCCCUAAAUGUAAGUUAAGUGGUAAAGGAUGUGGGAUUGCACAGACAACCAGGAUGUUGGCUUAGAAGCAGCCACUCAUUCAAAGAGUGCGUAAUAGCUCACUGGUCGAGUGAUCCUGCGCCGAAGAUUUCCGGGGCUAAAACUUACUACCGAAGCUACGGCAUCAGUAAUGA